rnacentral:rRNA from 1 species
CAGCCGCCGCGGUAAUACAGAGGGUGCGAGCGUUAAUCGGAUUUACUGGGCGUAAAGCGUGCGUAGGCAGCUUCUUAAGUCGGAUGUGAAAUCCCUGAGCUUAACUUAGGAAUUGCAUUCGAUACUGGGAAGCUAGAGUAUGGGAGAGGAUGGUAGAAUUCCAGGUGUAGCGGUGAAAUGCGUAGAGAUCUGGAGGAAUACCGAUGGCGAAGGCAGCCAUCUGGCCUAAUACUGACGCUGAGGUACGAAAGCAUGGGGAGCAAACAGGAUUAGAUACCCCCGUAGUCCCUGUCUCUUAUAC